AUCCAGAUGAUGAGUUUCAAAUAAGACGAGACGGGCGUCCAGGAU
rfam:Schistosoma mansoni strain Puerto Rico chromosome W, complete genome